UGGUUCCUCUUCCUCCAAGAUACAGAACUUCUCCAAAACACUCACACACAACACAGCUCUCCUCCAUCCAAAGGACAGGUUUCUGGCACUUUUGCACUGUUUGAAAAGAGGCUCUCCAAGGAGCUGACAAAUCCCUCGCAGGCUUUUACUCCAAGAGAGCCGUGCUGUACAUACUGUCUGAAUUUGGAGACUGCAGUCUUACAGAAUAUUGAGCAAUUCCCUGCAGGGUUCCCAAGAGCAUCCUUAAUUGCUGGAAACAUACUGAAGUAA
rnacentral:lncRNA from 1 species